GUUCCUAACCAUUCAGAUCCUUAUUGUGUAUGUUGGCUAUUGCAGAUUCAGAUUUACUGUUUGAAAUAAGAUGCACCUAGAUGGAAUCUAUCGACCUUGAUAGAAAAGUAGUUCUAUGAUCACAAGAUUGAGUUUAGAAAGUUUCUGACCAAAGCAACAGUGAAUACUGAAAAAGAGUUUCCACGGGAUUCAUAAAUAAACUUCAGUCAAGCCAAUCUAGCAUAUGAUUGACGAUGGAGUUUGAUGAGUUCUCCAUGACCUCCAUCUAGUCAGGAUUCACAAUAGAG
rnacentral:lncRNA from 1 species